CACGAACUCAUUCGAUAGCGGGGGUUCCUCUGAGCAGAGAGGUAGGUUCUGAGGCCCUAAACCUUGCCAACGAAUCAUGGUCUUCGGAAAGGACCGGCGGGAGAACACACCAAUCCGGCCGAAUGGCAGUUUUCAACCGAGCAUACUACGCUUUUUUGCACCUUUAAGGUCUGCCAACGGAAAUCGGGAAGGUGACGCUGAAACAGGCAUGGAAACCAGCAAUUUAAUCUUAGCCAAUGGUGCCUGUGGUGAAGGCACCUCUACGCCAUCGGCCUCCAAACAAAAAGCCCUGAACCCCUGUGCCACGUGCCCUCACCUAGUCCUGAAAAGAAUUUCUGCAUCACCAACCAAGGAUGACCCUCCUGAGGAGUAUGAAGUGGAAGAGGUGCUAUGCAUAGAAAAGCGUCAGGACACAUUCCACUUCUUCAUCAAGUGGAAAGGAUGGAGCUCAAAAUUCAACUCCUGGGAGUCUGAGGAGAGCGUGGCGCACUGCAUGGCACUGGUCAUCAGUUACUGCAUCCAGAGCAACAGCAGCUACAGGUUCCGACUGAUGCGGUCGGCCAUCAGGGAGGUCUGCAACCGAGAGAGCCCCGACGUGAUGGUCAUGUCCAAGCUUGUUGGCUUCAAGGUGCCCAGCAACGGCCACGUCUCCAAGAAGAACCUCAUCGACAUCAGGAAAACGAUCUUGGAGAUGCUUGACCUCACGGACAAGUGCCUGUCACGAAAAUUGGAGGUGCUCUUUGGGUCCUGGCAGAAUUUCCUGGAGUUGGUAGAAGCGCGGAAAGAGCAGGCCAAGGUCAUCGCGGACUGGGAAAAGUACAUCAACAAGGCCUCGGAGGAGCGGUGCCCCCUUUUCGUUGAAAACUAUGUGGAUCUUGAGACUCCACCUAUGCCGAACGACUUUGUCUACCUCAAGGACUUCCUGCCAGGGCAGGGGAUUGUGUUCCCAAAGGAGCCCGAAGUAGGCUGCCAGUGCACGGACUGCUACAGCGGCAAGGAGCAGUGUUGCCCGCAGCUCGCCAACACCACCUUCAUGUACAACAGGCACGGCACCCUGGUGGUGAACCGGGGAUGUGCCAUCUGGGAGUGCAACAGCCGCUGCAAGUGCAGUAACGACUGCCCCAACCGAGUCGUCCAGAAGGGCAGGCAGGUGCCUCUGACGAUAUUCCGGACAACCAACAAGCGUGGAUGGGGUGUUCGGACUGAGAGGAGGAUCAAGAAGGGCGCAUUCUUGUUUGAGUACUUCGGAGAGGUGAUUACAAACGAGGAAGCAGAGCGGCGUGGCCGGACCUACGAUGCACAGGGUAUUACAUACCUUUUUGAUCUGGACUACGACGAUAGCGACGACAACUUCUACACCGUGGAUGCUGGCAAAUGCGGCAACGUCUCGCAUUUUGUGAACCAUUCGUGCGACCCCAACAUGAAUGUUUACUCGGUGUGGAUCAACAACCUGAACCGCCAGAUGCCACGGCUGGCCUUCUUCGCCAGCAAGGAUAUCUGCUCUCAGGAGGAGCUCACCUUUGACUACAAGAUGAGUAGUCCUCGCUGGGUUCAUGGGCCAGCAAGUACGGAGCAUUCUGGAGAAGAUGGCCAGGGCCAAGAUCCAGCAGGACCACAAGGAGGCAAUGCCAGGGACCCGCUCGUGGGACGGCUGGACCAUCAAGGGUGCCCCAUUGACCGCACCAUGUUGUCUCUUCAGAAUUCUCUGACUUUUCCAGCAAAGUUUUGUUAAUCUGACGACAUAGUCUUUUUAAGAGGCUGGGGAUAUUAUAGCAAAAAUUUUGUGGGCCUCACAUCUGGUAACAAGAAGGCUCCAAAAACAAGGCCCCUUGAAAACUGAGCAGGUUGCUACUUGUGUAAAUUGGCUCUGAAGAAACCAACAACUAGGCGCUGCACAGUCCGAUGAUUCUUUCCGAGUCUGAAGUGGUUCGAGGAAAUCGGAAUUUUCUGUUACAGUCAUGUCUCGUUAAUAUGGACCCCGUUAAUUGGGACACCCCGCAAUAUGGACGAAAUUUUCGGCGACCGGUCUCCCGCCAUGCAAUUCUGUCCCGUUAAUACAGAAACCCGCAGUCCGGACUAUGGUUGGCUAUUUUGGGGACGAAACGGGAAAAUACAGGCAUUUUUGUCUCGUUAAUAUGGACACAUGUCCACGAAAAAAAAAUGUUAGUGACCCCAGUGUGUACUACUCGGAAUUCACCAUUGCCUUUUUGUUCCCCGUCUGGUUACUUUGAAGGCGAGUCCACAUACCCGACAGAAGAAAAGGUUAGUGAAUCGUAGAGGUCACAGUUUGUACCCGGAAUUCACUAUUGUCCUCUGCCCUUGAGAUAAGACCUGCGCGCCUGAAGGUGGUCGUUUUUUUUUUUGUUUCGUGUCUUUCAAGCUUAAACGUAUGCCAUCUCCUUCCGGGUUGGCAUACGUGAUGAAUCACAUUCGUUGUGCAUAAGAGGCAAGAGGCAAGGCUGGACGCUUCUCCGGUCAUUUCGGAGGUGGAGACGAUGACAGGUGUUAAGCAUAAACGGACAGAGCUUUCUGCUCAGCUGAAAAAGGAGAUAUGCAAAUUCAAAAUUGAAACGCCUUCAGCGUCUGUUCAGUACGUGAAAGAGUGGAGUGGAAAAAACCUUGGCGUUGAUCUCGGAAAAUCGACAGUCCACGCAAUUCUAAAAGAAUCAAAGAAAUGGAUGAGCAUUCCCACAGCCAGCUCCAGUUCCUGCCGGCAGCGACCCCCAAAGUUUGAGAAGUUGGAGGAGGCCGUCAACAUCUGGUUUGCGGAAAUGCGCUCCAGAGGGGCCGCCGUCAGCGACGAGAUGCUGCAAGAAAAGCCGAAGGAGUUCGGCACAACGAUGGACAUUCAUGACCUGAACUACUCAAGGGGUUGGCUCAGCAGGUUCAAGCCACCAUAUUCAUGGAGAGAGUGGAAGCGUGGAUACAGCCGCCAUUGCCAGUGCUCGGAAACAGCUUGCGGAAUUUCUUGCUCAGUAUUCUCCAGAUGAUAUUUACAACUUCGACGAGACUGGCUUUUUUUACAAGUUUGGCCCAUCUUCGACUCUGGCAUCCGAACCUGUGGCUGGAAACAAGCGAAGCAAAGAGAGAAUCACGGUGGGAUUCUUGUGCAACGCGAGCGGCACCCACAAGUGGAAGCCCAUUGUCGUGGCAAAAGCGGAGCGACCACAAUGUUUUGGAAAGACAUUUGACCCGAACAUGUAUUGCUCUUACAAUUGCAACAAGAAAGCAUGGAUGACAGGAAAGAUAUUUGAAAUCUUCUUGGCAAAAUUCGACCGCUUCUUGAAGGCUGAGGAGAGGAGGGCUGUUUUGUUGGUUGAUAACGCAUCAUGCCAUUCUGUUCGUGUGGACCAUGAAAACCUUACCUUGAAGUUCUUUCCACCCAACAUGACUGCCAAAAUACAGCCCUUGGAUGCAGGAAUUAUUCGCGCGGUUAAGGCACAGUACAGAGGUGAACUUGUGCGGCACUACAUCGCUUGCGCGGAAGACAACGAACUGCAAACUGUUGACUUGAGGUGGUGCCUUCAAAAGCUGAGAAGGGCGUGGGACGCGGUGAGGUCUCAAACCAUUGUGAACUGCUGGCGUCACGCAGGUAUUCUUGUUAACAGCUCUGCUAUGGAGGUGGAGGAUCCGAUGAAUGAACUUCCGCUCGCGGCCCUUCAUGAAGCUCUUCGACAACUCGGGGAGAAAAACCCAGACGAAGAGGCAUCGGCAUUCUUGGAUAUAGACGAAGAGACUAACAGCUGGGAGCCUAUGAGCGACGAGCAGAUCAUGGAGCUUGUCGGUGAAUCCGCUCAACAGGGCCAUCAACUUGUCGAAAACUUUGCGCCGACAGAAACAGACGAUGAAGAAGAGACACCAACCGUUACUCGAUGUGAAGCUCGCCGUGGCUUGGAGACAGCGAUCGCCUACCUUGAGCAGGAGGGGGACGGAGAACGUGCACUUCAAGUGGCCGAAGUGUUGCGCUUUUUGGACUCUAAAAUGGGAUCGAAAGCGCCAGUGCAAACUCAUAUCUCCUCGUUCUUUGGCGAAAUAAACAAUGCUUUUUUUUAACA